UAAUACGUAGGCAGCGAGCGUUGUUCGGAAUUACUGGGCGUAAAGAGUGUGUAGGCGGUCGUCUAAGUUCGGUGUGAAAUCUCCUGGCUUAACUGGGAGGGUGCGCCGGAAACUGGAGGGCUCGAGCGUGGGAGAGGAAAGCGGAAUUCCUGGUGUAGCGGUGAAAUGCGUAGAUAUCAGGAGGAACACCGGCGGUGUAGACGGCUUUCUGGACCAUAGCUGACGCUGAGACACGAAAGCGUGGGUAGCAAACAGGAUUAGAUACCCUGGUAGUCCACGCCCUAAACGAUGCAUACUUGGUGUCGGCCAUUCAGUUGGUCGGUGCCGGAGCUAACGCGUUAAGUAUGCCGCCUGGGGAGUACGGUCGCAAGGCU
rnacentral:rRNA from 1 species